GGUCAGUAGGUUGGUCGUGCCACCGGUACGUACUGGUCUCACUGAUUCCUCCUCCCUGAAGAACCGUAAUGCCAUUAAUUUGGUGUUGCGGGGAAACAGGACUGUUACUUUGAAAAAAUUAGAGUGUUUAAAGCAAGCUAACGCUUGAAUACAUUAGCAUGGAAUAAUGAAAUAGGACGAUCGAUCCUAUUUUGUUGGUUUCUAGGAUUGACGUA
rnacentral:rRNA from 1 species